CUACGGGAGGCAGCAGCAAGGGAUAUUGCGCAAUGGCCUAACGGCUGACGCAGCGACGCCGCGUGGGGGACGAAGGCUCUCGGGUCGUAAACCCCUUUUGUGUGGGACGAAGACUGACGGUACCGCACGAAGAAGCCCCGGCUAACUACGUGCCAGCAGCCGCGGUAAUACGUAGGGGGCGAGCGUUGUCCGGAUUUACUGGGCGUAAAGCGUCCGCAGGCGGCUCGUUAAGUCCGGUGUGAAAGCCCUCCGCUCAACGGGGGGAGGUCAUCGGAGACUGGCGGGCUGGAGGAUGGCAGAGGGGGACGGAAUUCCCGGAGUAGUGGUGAUAUGCGUAGAGACCGGGAGGAACACCGGCGGCGAAGGCGGUCCCCUGGGCCACUCCUGACGCUCAUGGACGAAAGCGUGGGGAGCGAACCGGAUUAGAUACCCCAGUAGUCUG
rnacentral:rRNA from 1 species